UGAUAGUACAAGUCAGACAGACUCGAG
rnacentral:piRNA from 1 species